UGCUCGCGCACCCAACUACAGACCACCUAUCCUUCUCAGUUGCUUCACGAGCAGAUUACUGCUUGUUGACUGGUGCUGGGCUUGUGUUGCGUACCCAAAUAGAAGGAAUUGACUCGGUAUAGUUCACAUGUUGUUCGCGGCAUCUCUUUAAAUGGGGAAGUCGUGAACACUCAAGCUGACACUUGUGAUCCUUGCGUCUAGGCACUAAUACUGCCUUGCUCGCUAAGGUGAAUAAGCUGCUGGCUGAACUCUUGGAUGCGGAAAGAUUAUGGACGGUGACUCGAAGCAAUUCUGUCCCGCCAAAGCAUUGUCCUCGGGCAAAAGAUAACGGUCAAGACCUCGUCUGUUCUUUCUUAUCUAGGGUUUCGGGAAAUAGUUGGACUGGCUCUCAAUUA
rnacentral:misc_RNA from 1 species